rnacentral:rRNA from 1 species
CCUACGGGAGGCAGCAGUGGGGAAUAUUGCACAAUGGGGGAAACCCUGAUGCAGCGACGCCGCGUGAGUGAGGAAGUAUUUCGGUAUGUAAAGCUCUAUCAGCAGGGAAGAAAAUGACGGUACCUGACUAAGAAGCCCCGGCUAACUACGUGCCAGCAGCCGCGGUAAUACGUAGGGGGCAAGCGUUAUCCGGAUUUACUGGGUGUAAAGGGAGCGUAGACGGUUAAUCAAGUCAGAAGUGAAAACCCAGGGCUCAACCUUGGGACUGCUUUUGAAACUGAGGAGCUGGAGUGCAGGAGAGGUAAGCGGAAUUCCUAGUGUAGCGGUGAAAUGCGUAGAUAUUAAGAGGAACACCAGUGGCGAAGGCGGCUUACUGGACUGUAACUGACGUUGAGGCGCGAAAGCGUGGGGAGCAAACAGGAUUAGAUACCCGGGUAGUC